rnacentral:rRNA from 1 species
AGAAUCAACGCUGGCGGCGUGCCUAACACAUGCAAGUCGAACGCGAAAGGGGAGCAAUCCCUGAUUAGAGUGGCAAACGGGUGAGUAACACGUGGGUGACCUGCCUUCGAGUGGGGGAUAACCUUCCGAAAGGAGGGCUAAUACCGCAUGACAUACCGUGUUUGGAUACACGGAUAUCAAAGCCGGGGAUCGCAAGACCUGGCGCUUGGAGAGGGGCCCGCGUCCGAUUAGCUAGUUGGUGAGGUAACGGCUCGACCAAGGCUCCGAUC